UACGGAGGGAGCUAGCGUUGUUCGGAAUUACUGGGCGUAAAGCGCACGUAGGCGGCUAUUCAAGUCAGAGGUGAAAGCCCAGGGCUUAACCUUGGAACUGCCUUUGAAACUAGAUAGCUAGAAUUCUGGAGAGGUCAGUGGAAUUCCGAGUGUAGAGGUGAAAUUCGUAGAUAUUCGGAAGAACACCAGUGGCGAAGGCGACUGACUGGACAGAUAUUGACGCUGAGGUGCGAAAGCGUGGGGAGCAAACAGG
rnacentral:rRNA from 1 species